GCAUAGUAUUCCAUGGUGUAUAUGUGCCACAUUUUCUUAAUCCAGUCUAUCGUUGUUGGACAUUUAGGUUGGUUCCAAGUCUUUGCUAUUGUGAAUAGUGCCACAAUAAACAUACGUGUGCAUGUGUCUUUAUAGCAGCAUGAUUUAUAAUCCUUUGGGUAUAUACCCAGUAAUGGGAUGGCUGGGUCAAAUGGUAUUUCUAGUUCUAGAUCCCUGAGGAAUCGCCACACUGACUUCCACAAUGGUUGAACUAGUUUACAUGGCACCCAACUACUACUCGACAUUCGUAACCUUUUAUUCAUUAGAAAUGACCAACGGGAACUUUAAAUUACAUGACAGCAGUUUCCUUCUUAGAAAGAGGAAGGUAAAACUCAGAGAAACCUAUCAAGCCUGAAUAAAGGAGUAAACACAAAAAUGAAGCAGUUCCAACUCUUCUAUGGGGCUCCCUACCUGUGGUCCUUCAUCCUCAUAAUAUUAUUUUCUGAAUGGCCUCUGACAGCCACGAUUUCCCCAAAUGACCAAAGUCGUCAAACUAUUCAGCAUAGCAGAUCAGGAAAAUUGUCAGAUUUAUUUUAGAAAGAAUUUUAAAGGACAGGUGGACUCUAAAGGGAUGUUGUGCUUAGCUAGAUAUUCAAAAAUGCAAUUAACGAACACAUUCCUUCUCCAGAUACACCGAGUUUUCCUGUGUGUUCAGGUGUUUGUUCCGAGGGUGCGUUAGUGGACCAAUUCCUCCACCUGUGCAUCUGGAGACCUGGGGAUGUCUAUGCUCUUUGCCCCCUGCCAGGGUUGAGCAUGUGAUCAUAUCUCCAGCGGACGACACCAAAAGAAUGUCUGUGACCUUGUCCCCUGGCGACCACGUCUACAGCGACUGAGUGCUGCCGUGGCUGGAAAGCCAGGGUCUGCAUCUCCCAGGACCUCAGGACCCGUGUUGAGGUGUUGUGGGCCAAGAAGAGGAGGGUCCAUGGUGGGCUCUGCCGCAGGUGACCCUGCGCACUGUCCUAGCACCUGUGCCUAAGGAGACGCCCUCUAUGGGCUAAGCUUGAAGCAGAAGAAACCACAGUAAAAACACUGGUCAAUGUAUAGUAAUUUUAAAGUCAUCUACUUCCUAUACAUGUGAUUGUUGGCCAGGGCAUUUAUGAUUUCUGUUAUAUUUUAUUUUCCUAUGGUCUUAAGUUGUUGGUUAUACUCUAGAACUUUGCAUACAUGCAGUUGUUGGCUGGGACAUUUAUGAUUUAUGUUAUAUUUUAUUUUCCUACAGUCUUAAGUUGUUGGUUAUACUCUAGAACUUUGCAUACAUGCAGUUGUUGGCUGGGACAUUUAUGAUUUAUGUUAUAUUUUAUUUUCCUACAGUCUUAAGUUGUUGGUUAUACUCUAGAACUUUGCAUACAUGCAGUUGUUGGCUGGGACAUUUAUGAUUUAUGUUAUAUUUUAUUUUCCUACAGUCUUAAGUUGUUGGUUAUACUCUAGAACUUUGCAUACAUGCAGUUGUUGGCUGGGACAUUUAUGAUUUAUGUUGUAUUUUAUUUUACAAUUGUCUUAAGUUGUUGGUUAUCCUCUAGAACUUCCUGUACAUGUAGGGUUGGCCGGGCCAUUCAUGAUUUAUGUUGUAUUUUAUUUUGCUAUGAUCUUAAGUUGUUGGUUUUCCUCUAGAACUUCUUGCACAUGUAAUUGUUGGCCAGGGAAUUUAUGAUUUACACUGUGUUUUAUUUUAUUAUGAUCAUAAGUUGUUGGUUUUCCUCUAGAACUUCCCAUACAUAAUUCUUGGCCAGGGCAUUUAUGACGUAUGUUGUGUUUUAUUUUGCAAUGGUCUUAAGUUGUUGUUGUUGUUGUUUUCUAGAACUUUAGUGCAUUUCACAGUAACAUAUUUUAGUGGAUGGUGAGGUGAGGGCCCAAACCCCCCAAAACAAAUUGUAAAUUCCAGUAAAAACUAUUACCCAGUAGUUGGCAUGGAAAAGUUUGGUGGCUCCUUACCAAGUUAAAUGUAGAACUACCAUAUCACACAGAAACUCCACUCCUAGGCAUAUAUGUCCGGAAGAAUUGUGGGCAGAGGCUGGAACAGAUAAUUGUACAGGAAAGUCAUAACAACAUCAUUCACAAUAACCAAAAAGCAGAAGCAACCAUGCCCAUUGAGAGGUGAAUGGGUAAGCCCAACGUGGUCUGUCCAUACAAGGGAAUGCUUUCAGCCUCAACAAGGGAUGGAGUUUUCAUACACGCUGCAACCAGGAUGGACCUGCAAAACACAUGAAGCGCAGUAAGCCAGACACAGAAGGACAGAUAUGACAUGUCUCCAUGGACACGGAAUACUUAGAACAGGCAAUUUCACAGACAGAAGGUAGAGUGGAGACACUCAAGGCUGGGGAAUGGGAUGGAGGGGGUGUUGUUAUUGGAGGUGCCGAGCUUAUGUUGGGGAUGGUGAAGAAGUUUUGGGGAUAGCAGUGGUGAGGGCUACACAAAUUGUGAAUAGAUUUAAUGCUACUUCAUUGUCUGCGGAAAAACGGCUACAAUGGCAAGCAUUCUAUUCUCUAUGCUUUACCAUAGCAAAAAAAAAAAAAAAAAAAAAAAAAAGAAUACCUAGUAGGAACUUUAUGCGGUUAUUUUGAAACAUGGGUCAGAUUCUAAAUUUACUCUCCAGGAUCACAACGAUAAGUGUUUUGUGAAUGGUGGAGCCAGUGAUGCAGAGAGGACUGCCGACACUGCCCCCCAGGGGCUCUGAGCCUCUGUCUCCUCACCUGUGAAGCAGACGCAAGUUACUUGGAAGUAUUUUCAAGCACGAACGUGCAUGACGGCUCCUUUAUUUAUGUGUUGGGAGCAGCUCGGAUCUACUCAGCGACUUUCCAGAGAGCUGUGUGGCCUUACUAAUGACAGACAUCGUGGUGCAUUCCAGACCCCUGGGCUUGUUCAUCUGACGUCACUGCAACUUCCUGAUUCCACUCAAUAGGCCAAGACAAGCGGAAGCUCCGGUUCAGGGAGAACGUUCCCCAGGAAAUCAGGGCAGCAGAGUUUUCCAGGAACGGAGGCUGUGACGGUGGAGGGUGGCCAGGCAGCCGGAGGCCGGGGAAGCGGGUGUCCUGAAGCAGAGGCCGCGGUGCCACGUGUAUGGCAGCUUGCAGUUUUCAGAGAGAACGGAGUGGUCUCUGCAUUUUAAUAAACCCACCAUCUGCACCCAGAGUCCUGCAAAGUGGAUCUUGAUGCUGUGGCCCUUACGGGUGAGGCGGGAGCAGCCCAUAGAUGCCGGGGCCUGGCCGGCCUGGGCUUUUCUCUGUGCAGCCUACAGGGGAGGCUGUAAGGGCCUGCAGCCGGUGCUCCGAUACAGCGGCUGGGAAGUGGAACACAUGGCAACUGCUGGGUCACCUCGCUGUGUUUUCUGAGGCACAUGUGUUUUGGAACGUAGUGUUAGUGAACGUCCGUCCGUGAGGGCUUCCAUCUCUCAGGAUGAAAGCCAAAGUGAUUGCUCCAAAUGGACAUCCAUGCCAGUCAUCUGUGUAAGGAUCGCUGAGUGUCUCACAAAAGCACAUGGGUAUGAAGGUGGGGUUGACAUUGAUGAUUAAACCAAGCAGUACAGAAGCAUCGGUGCUGGUCACUUAUCCCCGUCCUUCCCAUCGUUCGAGAUCCCCUUCCAGCGAAUGGCAUCUUCUGGUGUGUGCAGGACCCGAUGGAGGAGUGAUGAUACCUCAGAGCCAUGUCCAGGCUCUUCCAGUCAGUUGGUGGCCUCCACAAACGCCAGCCAGCCCGCCCAAUGCAAGCUCCUGCUUGGCCAAUGUGUAGCAGUUACGAUGCAACAAUUGGAAGAGGCUGUGGGGAUCAGUAAUUCCAGUGGGGGAGCGACGGACACCCCUAAGAACCCAUUCCACGACUUUAGUCCCAAAUUGGAUUUUGCUUGGAGAAAUUCUCUGCCCUGUAGUAGUGGUUUUUAAGAUCACAGAUAUUGGAGUAAGAAAGACAAGGCUCUUCCAUUUGCUGGUCUAUUGACUCACAGGGGAAUACCAGAGAACUUGGCAUCCAGAAAACAGUCAAUAAAUGAAGACAGUGCAACUAAGA